rnacentral:sRNA from 1 species
UUCUAGCCCCGAUAGUAGCGACAUCCUUUUGUUUUUUUCUUUAAAAAACAAAAGAUAUAGCGGAUAGCGGGAUUAGCU